rnacentral:rRNA from 1 species
GACGAACGCUGGCGGCGUGCCUAAUACAUGCAAGUAGAACGCAGUUGCGAACGGGUGAGUAACGCGUAGGUAACUGCCUCAUAGCGGGGGAUAACUAUUGGAAACGAUAGCUAAUACCGCAUACUGUGAGAUGGACCUGCGUUGUAUUAGCUAGUUGGUGAGGUAAAGGCUCACCAAGGCCACGAUACAUAGCCGACCUGAGAGGGGGAUCGGGCACACUUGUAAUGGUACCCGGCCCAGAAUCCUUCGGGAGGCAGGCGUAGGGAAAUUUCGGCAAUGGAGGGAAGUCUGACCGAGCAUCUCCGCGUGGGAUAAGAAGGUUUUCGGAUCGUAAAGCUCUGUUGUGUGAGGAGCGGUAACGAACCAGAAAGGGACGGCUAACUCCGUGCCAGCAGCCGCGGUAAUAC